GGGGAUUUAGCUCAGCGGCCUUGAGCACCUGCCUUGAAAGCAGGCAGUCGUGAGUUCAAUCCCUG
rnacentral:tRNA from 1 species